rnacentral:misc_RNA from 1 species
GAUGAAGAACGUAGCGAAAUGCGAUAAGUAGUGUGAAUUGCAGAAUUCAGUGAAUCAUCGAAUCUUUGAACGCACAUUGCGCCCCUUGGUAUUCCAUGGGGCAUGCCUGUUCGAGCGUCAUUUGUAUCUUAAGCUCUGCUUAGUGUUGGGUGAUUGUCUGCGUCUUAGUGUAGACUCGCCUUGAAUCUAUUGGCCGCCGAUAGUCUAGUAUGCGAGCGCAGCACAUUUGCGCACUGUACCCGUCUAAUCGGCCACCAUCAAGUAUAAUACCUCAACGUUUGACCUCGGAUCAGGUAGGGAUACCCGCUGAACUUAAGCAUAUCCAAUAAGCGGAGGA